GUCAUACUUUCUCCGUCCUAAAAUUCUUGUCUUAGAUUUGUCUAAAUAUAAAUUUAUCUAGUCAUGUUUUAGUAUUUAGAUACAUUUAAACAUGACUAGAUAAAUUUAUAUUUAGAUAAACCUAAGACAAGAAUUUUGAAAGGGAUGGAGUAUGUA
rnacentral:pre_miRNA from 1 species